rnacentral:rRNA from 1 species
UUCAAGAGUACGUGAAACCGUCCAGGGGUAAACCUGCGAAACUCGAAUGAACGAACGGAGAGAUUCAUCGUCAUUCCUCGGCGCACUUGUGCAAGUUCGAUGUCUUCGAUCUCGGUCGUUGGCACUGCUCGCGUUCGUAGCGUCCGGGGACGGCGUGCACUUCUCUCUUAGUAAUACAUCGCGACCCGUUCGAUGUCGGUCUAAGUGCCUUUCGGGAGUCUUUGUUCCUUUCACGAGGUACGGAGACCGUGAAGUGCACCGACCGGCCGUCGGACGGUAGAUCUGACGAAACGCAUACGCGCUAGCGCGCGUCAGGCCCGACGCAAGGCAACGUCGUACACCGCGUCCUGCCCGAGUGCGGACGUGGAUGCGGCGCGCCUGUCGUCGCAGCCGUGCUGUCUCUGACCGUGUGCGUAUCUGUCUGCGAUGAUUCAGUUUCGGGCACUCGCAGGACCCGUAU